rnacentral:rRNA from 1 species
AGCAUGUGGUUAAUUCGAUGAUACGCGAGGACCUUACCUGGGCUCAAAUGUAUGUUGACGUAUUCUGAAAGGGAUACUUCUUCGGACAAUAUACAAGGUGCUGCAUGGUUGUCGUCAGCUCGUGCCGUGAGGUGUCGGGUUAAGUCCCAUAACGAGCGCAACCCCUAUCAUUAGUUGCCAUCAGGUCAAGCUGGGGACUCUAAAGGAACUGCCUACGCAAGUAGUGAGGAAGGCGGGGAUGACGUCAAAUCAGCACGGCCCUUACGUCCAGGGCUACACACGUGCUACAAUGGCCGAUACAGAGGGCAGCUACCUGGUGACAGGAUGCAAAUCUCCAAAGUCGGUCUCAGUUCGGAUCGGAGUCUGCAACCCGACUCCGUGAAGUUGGAUUCGCUAGUAAUCGCGCAUCAGCCAUGGCGCGGUGAAUACGUUCCCGGGCCUU